rnacentral:lncRNA from 1 species
GGAAACUGUCCCCCUUGGUUGACGGGGAGGGAGCUAAUGGCAGGGAUCAGAAGAAAGGGUGAUGAGAGAGCAGGGGCCAUAUGGGGAAGGAUUUGCUGAAGAAGGGACUAUUUGCAUCUGAUUCUGGCAAAAAUGAUAGUCACAAACAUAUGGGCUACUAAUAAAUUAUGCUUUUAAAUGACCAUAGAUGACAUUAUUAUAUUCUUCUCAGAAAUACAUUAUACAACUUUUUGUAUCUUAGGGCAACUGGAAACAUUCAGAUUGUGCUCAGUUUACCAGCUUCAGUGUGUGUGUGUGUGCGCGCGCGCGCCGCUUGUGCAUGAGAGAAUUACUAACUAGACACUGUGGGAACUGUAUGUAGGGUCUUUGUGUUUAUACUGUUUACUCUGUCAAAAUCAUUUUAUUCCAC